rnacentral:rRNA from 1 species
UCUGACGGAGCAACGCCGCGUGAACGAUGAAGGCUUUCGGGUCGUAAAGUUCUGUUGUCAGGGAAGAACAAGUACCGGAGUAACUGCCGGUACCUUGACGGUACCUGACCAGAAAGCCCCGGCUAAAUACGUGCCAGCAGCCGCGGUAAUACGUAGGUGGCAAGCGUUGUCCGGAAUUAUUGGGCGUAAAGCGCGCGCAGGCGGUUCCUUAAGUCUGAUGUGAAAGCCCCCGGCUCAACCCGGGAGGGUCAUUGGAAACUGGGGAACUUGAGUGCAGAAGAGGAGAGCGGAAUUCCACGUGUAGCGGUGAAAUGCGUAGAGAUGUGGAGGAACACCAGUGGCGAAGGCGGCUCUCUGGUCUGUAACUGACGCUGAGGCGCGAAAGCGUGGGGAGCAAACAGGAUUAGAUACCCCGGUAGUCCACGCCGUAAACGAUGAGUGCUAAGUGUUAGAGGGUUU